rnacentral:rRNA from 1 species
UACCAGCACCCCGAGUGGUCGGGACGAUUAUUGGACCUAAAGCAUCCGUAGCCGGUCAUGCAAGUCCUCCGUUAAAUCCAGCCGCUCAACGGUUGGGCUGCGGAGGAUACUACGUGGCUAGGAGGCGGGAGAGGCAAGCGGUACUCAGUGGGUAGGGGUAAAAUCCUUUGAUCCAUUGAAGACCACCAGUGGCGAAGGCGGCUUGCCAGAACGCGCUCGACGGUGAGGGAUGAAAGCUUGGGGAGCAAACCGG